GGGGGGCGUUUCCACCGAUGCGAAAGAGCUCGACAAGAUCAUGGAACUGGCCGUGAAUAUCACCGCAGACAGUGACGGGGCAUUUGACGGGCUGCACGUUCCAUUCCUCGACCAGGAUCGCUCUUGCUUGCUCGCACAGNGCUUCCGUCAGUGGCUUACACUGCAUCAGGUGCUCGAUCUGCCGGUCCAGGUCACCAUGAGACGGCAUCGUUUUCUGCCUUUCUAUUUUUAAUUCUAAUUUUUUUGAUUCGACCAGUAAUGGAGCUUAGACGUACUGGGCUCUUAGCUCAAGUCAUGUCAUGGAGAUUUGGGGUUAGGGUUAACCUUCUAGGAGAGAGAGAGAGAGAGAGAGAGAGA
rnacentral:misc_RNA from 1 species